GUGAUGAAGGUUUUCGGAUCGUAAAGCUCUGUUGUUAGGGAAGAACAAGUGCAAGAGUAACUGCUUGCACCUUGACGGUACCUAACCAGAAAGCCACGGCUAACUACGUGCCAGCAGCCGCGGUAAUACGUAGGUGGCAAGCGUUGUCCGGAAUUAUUGGGCGUAAAGGGCUCGCAGGCGGUUUCUUAAGUCUGAUGUGAAAGCCCCCGGCUCAACCGGGGAGGGUCAUUGGAAACUGGGAAACUUGAGUGCAGAAGAGGAGAGUGGAAUUCCACGUGUAGCGGUGAAAUGCGUAGAGAUGUGGAGGAACACCAGUGGCGAAGGCGACUCUCUGGUCUGUAACUGACGCUGAGGAGCGAAAGCGUGGGGAGCGAACAGGAUUAGAUACCCUGGUAGUCCACGCCGUAAACGAUGAGUGCUAAGUGUUAGGGGGUUUCCGCCCCUUAGUGCUGCAGCUAACGCAUUAAGCACUCCGCCUGGGGAGUACGGUCGCAAGACUGAAACUCAAAGGAAUUGACGGGGGCCCGCACAAGCGGUGGAGCAUGUGGUUUAAUUCGAAGCAACGCGAAGAACCUUACCAGGUCUUGACAUCCUCUGACAACCCU
rnacentral:rRNA from 2 species